GAUGAACGCUAGCGGCAGGCUUAAUACAUGCAAGUCGAGGGACAGCACAGGUAGCAAUACUGGGUGGUAACCGGCAAACGGGUGCGGAACACGUACACAACCUUCCUUUAAGUGGGGGAUAGCCCAGAGAAAUUUGGAUUAAUACCCCGUAAUAUAGUUGAAUGGCAUCAUUUGAUUAUUAUAGCUACGGCGCUUAAUGAUGGGUGUGCGGCUGAUUAGAUAGUUGGCGGGGUAACGGCCCACCAAGUAUACGAUCAGUAGCUGAUGUGAGAGCAUGAUCAGCCACACGGGCACUGAGACACGGGCCCGACUCCUACGGGAGGCGGCAGUAAGGAAUAUUGGUCAAUGGACGCAAGUCUGAACCAGCCAUGCCGCGUGAAGGAUUAAGGUCCUCUGGAUUGUAAACUUCUUUUAUUUGGGACGAAAAAGGGCCUUUCUAGGUCAACUGACGGUACCAGAUGAAUAAGCACCGGCUAACUCCGUGCCAGCCGCCGCGGUAAAAC
rnacentral:rRNA from 1 species